rnacentral:rRNA from 1 species
UACGGAGGGUGCAAACGUUGCUCGGAAUCAUUGGGCGUAAAGCGCACGUAGGCGGCCUGUUAAGUCGGAUGUGAAAGCCCCGGGCUCAACCCGGGAAGUGCAUACGAAACUGGCAGGCUUGAAUAUGGAAGAGGGUCGCGGAAUUCCCGGUGUAGAGGUGAAAUUCGUAGAUAUCGGGAGGAACACCAGUGGCGAAGGCGGCGACCUGGGCCAAUAUUGACGCUGAGGUGCGAAAGCGUGGGGAGCGAACAGG